UACGAAGGGGGCUAGCGUUGCUCGGAAUUACUGGGCGUAAAGCGUGCGUAGUCGGCUUUUUAAGUCGGGUGUGAAAUCCCCGGGCUCAACCUGGGAAUUGCAUUCGAUACUGGAUAGCUAGAGUUCGGCAGAGGGAAGUGGAAUUUCUGGUGUAGCGGUGAAAUGCGUAGAUAUCAGAAGGAACAUCAGUGGCGAAAGCGACUUCCUGGACCAGAACUGACGAUCAGGCACGAAAGCGUGGGGAGCAAACAGG
rnacentral:rRNA from 1 species